UUCGCCCACCUUGCCUGGGUCCUGGGGGGGAAAUAACCCUGGCGGGGACGUCGUUUUACACGAGCAAAUCGGGAUGCCACUCCUGGAAAUAAGGUGACUCCAAAAGGUGUCUCAUUUACAUUUUGCGUCUUCGUAGCUGGUUUGCUUUCGUUAGCCACGGGGAGCAGGGUGAACUCAACAGCAGUUGGUGUCGCUGUGGGCUUUGGCAUCCUGGCAAUCCUCUUCGCUAUUGGCAUUGUACAAUUCUGCUUCAAAUACAAAUGCAAAAAGUGCAAAAACUGUUGCAAGAAAAAGGAGCCAUCAUUGAAAGACAAAGUGCUCACCCAAGUCGGGUUGAAGAAAUCUCCUCCAUUCUCCAUCAGCAGCAUCAUAAAAUAACAACCAAGUUGGUGGCAGUUGAUUCUGGCAACCACCAUAAUGGAAGGCACAUCCCUCACCCGUCAUUUUCCUACGCACCACCCGUUUUGUCUUCAGCAUUUAUGUUAUCUCUUCCUGUUUUUUGCUGCUAUAAUUCAUGUUGUUUUUUUUAACCAGAGGAGGGACUUUAUAGAGUUAUGCUAAAGCUUAUGCAGUUGAAUUACAUUUGAAUUGAUGCGUCAGGUGACGCUUUCAAACCAUGUCGCUGCCUCUUGGCCAACUUUUUAGUUGGGUCUUGAAAACAAAAAUGACUACUUUGUCUUGGAACAGAAAGAGAGGUAUUGAAUGCUAUUGUUGCUAUAAAAGUUGUAUUUUUAUGUAAUGUAAUUUAAAAAAUUGAUUACAAAUAAAA